rnacentral:lncRNA from 1 species
AUGGUAAAGGGUAUGUGCUUAGAGCCUGCGAUGCUCUGCCGGCCCCCUCUGACUUCACCUAGACGUGGGUGGAUGGAGCUCCCAGACGUGGGAGACUUUUGUCAGGUGGUCAUUCAGAAAUGGAUGAAUCACAUUCUGACUGAGAUCCCACUACACCUUCUAUAUGUUUGAUAUGAUAUCCAGAGCUUUGGUUAUAUGUUUCUGUACAUGCUUUGGAUAAGAAUGAUAUGAUUGCAACGUCAAGGACGACGUUUGAGCUUCUGUACGGUAUUUGUUUUUGAUAUGCUCUGAAAUGGUUCAUUCACUAUUGAUAUGCUUCGAAAUGUUUCAUAUGCCGUUGAUAUGCUCCGGAACAUUUCAUUUGCCAUUGAUAAGCUCUGAUAUGUUUCAUUUGUUAUUGAUAUGCUUCGAAAACAUUUCAUACGCCAUUGAUAAACUCCGAAAUGUUUCAUUCGUUACUGAUAUGCUCCAAUUACUCUGUGCUUCAUUUGCUAUGAAUUGAUAUGUUCUGAAAUGUCCUAUCUGCCAUUGAUAUGCUCCAAUUACUCUGUGCUCCAUUUGCUAUGAACUGAUAUGUUCUGAAAUGUCCUAUCUGCCAUUGAUAUGCUCCAAUUACUCUGUGCUCCAUUUGUUAUGAAUCAAAUAUGUUUGAAUGACAUGAUACAUAUGAUUUUGUAUCUAAUGAGAUGGUAUCAUUGAGAAUUCUUGUAUUCUGCCUUGCAUUAAGAUACCUUACUUGUUUGAAAUCGUUCUUUUUGUUCUGAAUAUGCUUUGUCACUUGCUGAGCCGUUUUUGGCUCACUCCGAUGUUAUAUAAAUCUUUCAGGUCAGCUUGUCACUCUUCGAGAUGUUUGAUUUGGGUUGAGGCAGUGGAUAGCUAUUUAGAAUUAUGGGCAAGUCUUGUUGGUUGUUAUGCUAUUGUUGUAUAAGCAUAUUUUGUAUGUAAUGAAUUGUUCUGAUGAUCAAAAUGGAUAUACUGUGUAAAAGUGUUAGAAGAUCUCUCUUAUUUAGAAUUUCGGAAUGUUAAGUCUAAUUUAUGACGAUAUGAACUUGUGGUGAAUAGUUGGAGUUCUGAUUGUAUAAUUUAUUUAGCUUGUGGAUUUAUAAAUAUUGUUCAUGUUUGUCAAGUUGGCUUGGGUUGCCAUAAAUGUGAAUUAUCGAGUGAUGUGAUAUAUGAUUUUAAAAUGCACAGGUUUUAUGGAUGUGAAUUUGAUUGAAUGUUUUUCAGUUAGUUUGGAUCCUGGAUUGGUCUGUGAUGAAAAUUUUAAAAAUCAUGGAUAUCUUUGAGGGGCGUGACAACUGCGUAGAGGGAUCACUAUUGCUGAGGGCUUAGAGGUAGCGAUGGUGGUGCGGCUAGGGCAGCAUCGCCAAGGGCUCACCGCUGCGAUGGCUGCGACAGUGUGGAUGGAAGGCAGUGUUGCUCUGUUUCUGUCACACUACGGAAGGAGGCGCUAGUGAGAGGCAACAAUUCUUGUUGCAGUCGUUGCGUGGAGGGUUCGCUGUUGCUGAGGGUUGGGAGGCAGCGAUGGUGAUGUGGUUGGGGGCAG